rnacentral:rRNA from 1 species
GCUUAACACAUGCAAGUCGAGCGGAAAGGCCACUUCGGUGGUACUCGAUCGGCGAACGGGUGAGUAACACGUGAGUAACCUGCCCCCGACUCUGGGAUAACCCCGGGAAAUCGGAGCUAAUACCGGAUACGAGACGCACAGGCAUCUGCAGCGUCUGGAAAGAAUUUCGGUCGGGGAUGGACUCGCGGCCUAUCAGCUAGUUGGUGGGGUAACGGCCCACCAAGGCGACGACGGGUAGCCGGCCUGAGAGGGCGACCGGCCACACUGGGACUGAGACACGGCCCAGACUCCUACGGGAGGCAGCAGUGGGGAAUAUUGCACAAUGGGCGCAAGCCUGAUGCAGCGACGCCGCGUGAGGGAUGACGGCCUUCGGGUUGUAAACCUCUUUCAGCAGGGACGAAGCGCAAGUGACGGUACCUGCAGAAGAAGCGCCGGCCAACUACGUGCCAGCA